rnacentral:rRNA from 1 species
UUUAAUUCGACGCAACGCGAAGAACCUUACCAAGUCUUGACAUCCUGUGACAGACGUAGAAAUACGUUCUUCCUUCGGGACACAGAGACAGGUGGUGCAUGGUUGUCGUCAGCUCGUGUCGUGAGAUGUUGGGUUAAGUCCCGCAACGAGCGCAACCCUUAUGGUCAGUUACUACGCAAGAGGACUCUGGCCAGACUGCCGUUGACAAAACGGAGGAAGGUGGGGAUGACGUCAAAUCAUCAUGCCCUUUAUGACUUGGGCUACACACGUACUACAAUGGCGUUAAACAAAGAGAAGCAAGACCGCGAGGUGGAGCAAAACUCAGAAACAACGUCCCAGUUCGGACUGCAGGCUGCAACUCGCCUGCACGAAGUCGGAAUUGCUAGUAAUCGUGGAUCAGCAUGCCACGGUGAAUACGUUCCCGGGCCUUGUACACACCGCCCGU